GACGAACGCUGGCGGCGUGCUUAACACAUGCAAGUCGAACGGAAAGGCCCUGCUUUUGUGGGGUGCUCGAGUGGCGAACGGGUGUGUAACACGUGAGUAACCUGCCCUAGACUUUGGGAUAACUUCAGGAAACUGGGGAUAAUACCGGAUAGGAGCUUACGCUGCAUGGUGGGGGUUGGAAAGUUUCGGCGGUUGGGGAUGGACGCGCGGCUUAUCAGCUUGUUGGUGGGGUAGUGGCUUACCAAGGCCUUGACGGGUAGCCGGCCUGAGAGGGUGACCGGCCACACUGGGACUGAGAUACGGCCCAGACUCCUACGGGAGGCAGCAGUGGGGAAUAUUGCACAAUGGGCGGAAGCCUGAUGCAGCAACGCCGCGUGCGGGAUGACGGCCUUCGGGUUGUAAACCUCUUUCAGUAGGGAAGAAGCGAAAGUGACGGUAAUUGCAAAAGAAGCACCGGCUAACUACGUG
rnacentral:rRNA from 1 species